GAAGGUGCAGACUCCAGCGCAUAGGUGUGCAUAUACUACAUAUAAAUAUAUGCACAAAUACGUAUGUGAAUUUGGCACUGCCAGAGGCUUCUCCAUCACAUAGCAACCAGACAGGACCCGUGACACAGAGCUGAAUGUGCGCGAUUCCUCCCAGCAGAGGUCAGUGAUCUGACACCAGACGAAUUUAAAAAAGCACAUUAGAAGUCCU
rnacentral:lncRNA from 1 species